GACGAACGCUGGCGGCGUGCUUAACACAUGCAAGUCGAACGAUGAAGCCGGAGCUUGCUCUGGUGAAUUAGUGGCGAACGGGUGAGUAACACGUGAGUAACCUGACCUUGACUCUGGGAUAACUGCGGGAAACUGUAGCUAAUACCGGAUACGACCCUCGGAGGCAUCUCCUGGGGGUGGAAAGAAUUUCGGUCAAGGAUGGACUCGCGGCCUAUCAGCUAGUUGGUGAGGUAACGGCUCACCAAGGCGACGACGGGUAGCCGGCCUGAGAGGGGGACCGGCCACACAGGGACUGAGACACGGCCCAGACUCCAACGGGAGGCAGCAGUGGGGAAUAGUGCACAAAGGGCGCAAGCCUGAUGCAGGAACGCCGCGUGAGGGAUGACGGCCUUCGGGUUGUAAACCUCUUUGAGUAGGGAAGAAGCGAAAGUGACGGUACCUGCAGAAAAAGCACCGGCUAACUACGUGCCAGCCGCCGCAGUAA
rnacentral:rRNA from 1 species